GAUGACGGUUGCGUUGUUCAGUUAUGGGAUUGCUGGAGAAAAUCGAGUUUUAUCACUGGACCAUGCUCUUGUGAUAAGCGGGGCAAUCACAGUAAUGGGAUUAUUGGCUGGAUUUGUGCUGGGUCUGUCGACACUCUACGGUAUAAGUUCGACGACGCGAAAGACUUUCUUUCUGAUUUGGAAUCUGAACGGGCUAAUUGGUGUAGUUCUGGUUGUUGUCCACGUCGCUUUCUUUCAACAGUCUCUGACGUCCAUUGUUAUAUCUAGCUUGGAAAUGCUAAUAAUUAUUAUCGGUAGUAUUGUAGUGUAUAAGUUUAAGUACUCUUAUCAAAUUUAUACCCCAUUCGAAAGUGUAAUUGUUUAAAUAUGCAGUGCUUUGUUCGUAAAAAUUAUGAUGAACUGUUCUUCUCGACAUUUAUUUUCUUGUGUAUGCAAUAAAUGGUUAAUUUGAG